UGAGAAUCUGCCUUUUGCAGGGCAAGCAAUGC
rnacentral:piRNA from 1 species